CAGGACUUGGGUGCUAAUACGGAGAAAUCGGGCUGAUUGUGAAAAAAGUACUUGAUGAUCCUGCUUAACUUCAGAUACGGCACUGUUCACUUCGUCAGCCCUGUAAUCCGCGUUUGUAUCUACUAUGUUUUCUUUAAUGCAUAUGUUAAUUUAUUUUCAUAUAGAGGUAUUAUAUAUAGAGAGAUAUAGAAAUAGAUAGAUGGAC